GUCCUCCCUAAAUGUGCCAUAAUUUUAUAUACUUCCAUCAGGUAUCCCCUCAGUCUCCAAUCCGAGUUUGUCCAAUCUGGAAUAUAAUGUAUUACAGCUAAUAUCCUCUAAUUCAGGCAGCCUUUUUGCUGAUCUGGUAGAUCAGCACCCUCCUUUAGACUGAUGGAAUAGGGGAGAGAAAGCUGGAAAAGAUGGGUGGGACAAAGCCCGGCAAGUGAUAUGUGGAUUCAGAUGGUUGAUUGGUAGGUGGGUUGAGAUAAUGACAAGAGCAGGAAGUGAAAGAGUGUCGCAUAAG